UCUCAUUCAAAAUUCUGCUUAAAAGUGGAAUCAGGGACAUGAAUCUAAAGCACCAGUUUUAUUUAAGAAUGAAACCCAAGGAAAUAUAAAAAUAAAGAAAAGCAAUAAAUGUUUGAGGGUAGUUUAUUAAUUUUGUGCGCACCAUUUAAUGUUCAAAUGUGGUAGCCGUUUCUUGUGGUCGUUCUGUGUUUUGCCAGGGUUGAAAGCUUCGGCAUUCUGACCCAUGGCGCGAACCCUAAUUUUUCUGCAGAACGCAAGACGCUGCCUCCUCUUCAAUGGCCGUCUCAAUCUCUUAUUUGUUCCUUCAAGUUCAGCUUCUCUCUCUAAACUGGCAGGUUCACAAAACAAUAGACGUUGCCACGCUACUGGUUCACGAUUCACCAGAUCUUUCUGUACCACUUCUGUAAACCUAGAAGUAAGCCUCUCUCACCCUACGUUCAUGGUUUGGAGUUCAAAUACCGGGGUGGGAAAAACCCUAGUUUCAGCUGGACUUGCUUCUUCGAUACUCUUACUGGAGACUAAACCCUCGAAUCCAUUGAAUGUCCAGUAUAUCAAGCCUGUUCAAACUGGUUUUCCCAUUGAUUCAGAUUCUCGCUGUGUGUAUCAAAAGGUCUCUGAAAUUUUCCACCAUCGGAGGCCUUCUCGGAGCAUUUUUGCCUCAAAUCAUGUUCUCAAAGCUUCAGAGCCUGCAUUAGAAGGACUUGUAGGGGUUAGAACCGAAGAUUGCACAAGUGGAAGCAUUGAUGGAUUCAGGGAUUUGGGUUUGUAUGAGGAGAGGGAGUUGCGUGUUCCUGGAUCUGUACAUGAGGGUUCAAAAUUGAUGUGCAAAACAAUGUAUGCAUGGAAACAGCCAAUUUCGCCCCAUCUCGCUGUAGAGAGAGAAAGUGCUUUUGUUAGUGAUUCAGUUUUACUCCAGUCAUUGCAACAAAAUUUGCUGUUUCAAACGAGAGAGAAAGAUGCAUUUGGAAAGUGUCAGCUUUGGAAUAUAGUUGAAAUUGCAGGGGGAGUUGCUAGUCCUGGACCUUCUGGCACGCUCCAGUGUGAUCUUUACAGACCUUUCAGGUUACCUGGUGUCCUUGUUGGAGAUGGGAGACUUGGUGGUAUAUCUGGGACAAUUUCAGCAUACGAGACUUUAAAGCUUAGAGGUUAUGACGUGGCUGCCAUUAUUUUGGAGGAUAAUGGCCUUUCAAAUGAGGAAUCUUUGUUGUCUUACUUGCACAACAGGUUGCCUGUGCUUGUGCUGCCUGCUAUUCCACGAGACCUAUCUGAUAACCUUAUGGAAUGGUUUGGAAAAUCUUGGGAUGUUUUUGGCUCCCUCCAUUCAAUAUUGGUAGAUGAUUAUACAAAAAGGAUGGGGAGAUUACAUGAGAUGUCAAAGAAAGCUGGUACCAUUUUCUGGUGGCCAUUUACUCAGCACUCUCUUGUUCCUGAGGAAACUGUUACAGUUAUCGAUUCACGCAGUGGUGAGAAUUUUGCCAUUCACAAGGUAAAGAAAGACUCAAACUAUGAGUUUAUUUCUCACCAGUUUGAUGCAUGUGCUAGUUGGUGGACACAAGGACCGGAUUCUACACUACAGAUGGAGCUUGCAAGGGAUAUGGGUUAUGCAACUGCUAGAUAUGGACAUAUAAUGUUCCCUGAGAAUGUCUACGAGCCAGCUUUACAUUGUGCGGAGCUUUUGCUUCUAGGUGUAGGAAAAGGAUGGGCUUCACGAGUAUUCUUUUCAGACAAUGGUUCCACAUCCAUAGAAAUUUCUCUGAAGAUGGCAUUUCGUAAAUUUGCUUCCGAUCAUGCACUUUUUUGUCCUUCCCAGCUGAAGUCAGUUGAAGGUACUGAGUUCAAGGUGCUUGCUCUUAAUGGAUCUUAUCAUGGUGAUACUUUGGGUGCCAUGGAAGCACAGGCACCAUCACCAUAUACAGGAUUUCUCCAACAGCCUUGGUAUUCUGGGAGAGGCUUCUUUCUUGAUCCUCCUACAGUCUUUUGUAGCAAUGAGCAUUGGAAUCUUUGUUUACCUCAAGUCUUUCUGCCUUACAAACUGAAUGGGGAAGUCCCUGCAUUUAGCUCGCGUGAGGAGGUGUUCUGUGGGAGUAGGGAUUCUUCUGAGCUUGCUGGAAACUAUUCCAAUUAUAUACAUCAGCAGUUGUCACUGUAUCGAGGAUCAAAAAAUUGUGCUUCUAUAGCAGCCCUGAUAAUAGAACCAGUUAUCCAUGGUGCCGGUGGAAUGCACAUGAUCGAUCCCCUUUUUCAACGGGUGCUCGUUAGGGAAUGUCGAAAUCAAGGAAUUCCUAUUAUUUAUGAUGAAGUUUUCACUGGGUUUUGGCGUCUUGGUGUUGAGUCUGCAGCAGAGUUCCUUGGUUGUGUUCCUGAUAUUGCUUGCUUUGCAAAGCUAAUGACUGGGGGAAUUGUCCCUUUGUCGGUCACAUUAGCAACUGAAGCUGUCUUUGAUGCAUUUAAAGGAGACUCUAAGCUCAUGGCCUUAUUGCAUGGGCACUCCUACUCUGCACAUGCACUGGGCUGUACAGCAGCAGCCAAAGCCAUUCAAUGGUUUAAGGAUCCCCAUAUGAACCCCAACAUUAUAGCAACUGGAAACAAGAAGCUUAGAGAGUUAUGGGACUGUGAAAUGGUAUCAAAACUAUCAUCCCAUUCAGCUGUGAAAAGAGUAGUUUCACUGGGGACUUUGUGUGCUAUUGAACUCAAAGCAGAAGAUUCUGGGUAUGAUAUGACUAUUGCCACCUGACCUAUCACCGAACCCGGAACCUCUUUUGCACUUAUUAUUUUAUCGAUGGCAUGAAUAUUUUAUUAUUAAGUUAAUGAGCAGGUUACAACUUCUAUUGUGAAAAGGUGAGCUGGGUUAUAACUGACUCAAUUUUCAGUAAAAAACAAAACAAAAAAAUUCAACCAGCAAUAACAGUCGGAGUUAGGAGGAGUACGCCUGUUCUUCUAUCCGCUUCAUCUAUCUCUCCGUUUUAUGGGAUGAAUUGCAAGGCAUGGCAGCUGCUGUUCGUUCGAGCUUAUCAGUCCUGGAGUUAGUUCCUUUGAGAUGAGUAAGAGACUGACCGCCGCAUAGCUCUUUCGGUCGGGUCCGGAUCUGCCCCCAAUGCCUUAUCCCAGUUCUUCUCCAGCUCCACCAGGAUCCUUAUCCGCUGCUAUGGUUCCCUUUCUGAAUGCAAAUCGAAUACGCCUGAAUUUAGGAUGAUAUGGUUCUCUGUAUGCCAUCUCUCUUGUUCGGCAGCUGCGUGAAGAUGGUGUAUACAUGAGGCCUUUGGGGAAUGUUAUUUAUCUCAUG